AACUGUAUUAAGACACAGGGAUGCCCUAGUAACGGCGAGUGAAGCGGCAACAGCUCAAAUUUGAAAUCUGGCUCUUUUAGAGUCCGAGUUGUAAUUUGCAGAGGGCGCUUUGGCUUUGGCAGCGGUCCAAGUUCCUUGGAACAGGACGUCACAGAGGGUGAGAAUCCCGUACGUGGUCGCUGGCUAUUGCCGUGUAAAGCCCCUUCGACGAGUCGAGUUGUUUGGGAAUGCAGCUCUAAAUGGGAGGUACAUUUCUUCUAAAGCUAAAUAUUGGCCAGAGACCGAUAGCGCACAAGUAGAGUGAUCGAAAGAUGAAAAGCACUUUGGAAAGAGAGUCAAACAGCACGUGAAAUUGUUAAAAGGGAAGCGCUUGCAGCCAGACUUGCUUGCAGUUGCUCAUCCGGGCUUUUGCCCGGUGCACUCUUCUGUAGGCAGGCCAGCAUCAGUUUGGGCGGUAGGAUAAAGGUCUCUGUCACGUACCUCCUUUCGGGGAGGCCUUAUAGGGGAGACGACAUACUACCAGCCUGGACUGAGGUCCGCGCAUCUGCUAGGAUGCUGGCGUAAUGGCUGUAAGCGGCCCGUCUUGAAACACGGACCAAGGAGUCUAACAUCUAUGCGAGUGUUUGGGUGUCAAGCCCGAGCGCGUAAUGAAAGUGAACGGAGGUGGGAACCCGCAAGGGUGCACCAUCGACCGAUCCUGAUGUCUUCGGAAGGAUUUGAGUAAGAGCAUGGCUGUUGGGACCCGAAAGAUGGUGAACUAUGCUUGAAUAGGGUGAAGCCAGAGGAAACUCUGGUGGAGGCUCGCAGCGGUUCUGACGUGCAAAUCGAUCGUCAAAUUUGGGCAUAGGGGCGAAAGACUAAUCGAACUAUCUAGUAGCUGGUCUGCGAUCUCCUCUCUCCUGGAAAACGGGCUACUAGAUAGUUCGAUAGUCUUUCGCCCCUAUGCCCAAAUUGACGAUCGAUUUGCACGUCAGACUGCUGCGAGCCUCCAAGAGACCUCGGCUCCCUCAUCAACAAAGAUUAAUUAACAGGUGUAGGCCCGACUGUCAUCAUCUUCUCAAAUCUUCGAAGAGUGGAUCGUCGGUGCCCCCUUCCUGUUCACCUCGUUCAUUCCAAACCCGAGGGUUAACCAACAUCCAGAUGAGAGACUAUCGCCUCUAGACGGCGGUAACGCUGGUAGUGUGUCUUGCGUACUGUCGGGGGGGAAUUUACUGUAUACUAAUAUAUCUGGUAUAUCGACUGAACAUAACGCCAGGGCGCGCUGCUAGAUCGGAGAGGGACGUACAGCUCAUGACGGAC
rnacentral:rRNA from 1 species